rnacentral:rRNA from 1 species
CAUGCAGUCGAACGAUCAGCAACGGUUCGCAAGAAUUGUAGCUGGGAGUGGCGAACGAGUUAGUAACGCCCUGGUACGUACCCCGAAGUGGAGCAUAGCUAACCGAAAGGUUAGAUAAUUCUCCAUAGUCUCAGCAUUUAGAAAUAAUUGUUGAGUAAAGCCGCAAGGCGCUUUGGGAUCGGCCUAGGUCCGAUCAGUUAGUUGGUAGGGUAAUGGCCUACCAAGACUAUGACCGGUAGGGGUGCUGAGAGGCAGUUCCCCAACGACGAGACUGAGACACGGCUCGUACACCUACGGGUGGCAGCAGUCGAGAAUAUUCCACAAUGGGCGAAAGCCUGAUGGAGCGACGCCGCGUGGAGGAUGAAGGCCUUCGGGUUGUAAACUCCUUUUCUAUCGGAUGAAUUCCGAUUUUUUCGGUAUGACCGUACGAUAGGAAUAAGAGGUUGCUAACUCUGUGCCAGCAGCAGCGGUAAUACAGAGACCUCAAGCGUUAUCCGGAUUUAUUGGGUGUAAAGGGCGCGUAGGAGGUUAGGUGCGUCUUGUGUUAAAUCUCACCGCUCAACGGUGAAACCGCGCAAGAUACGGCCAAACUAGAGGAUGUCAGAGGUAAGCGGAACACAUAGUGUAGGGGUGAAAUCCGUUGAUAUUAUGUGGAACACCAGAGGCGAAGGCGGCUUACUGGGGCAUUUCCUGACUCUGAAGCGCGAAAGCGUGGGGAUCAAAAAGGAUUAGAUACCCUUGUAGUCCACGCCCUAAACGAUGUCAACUAGCUAUCGGGAGUAUCGACCCUCUCGGUGGCGAAGCUAACGCGUUAAGUUGACCACCUGGGAAGUACGGCCGCAAGGCUAAAACUCAAUGGAAUAGGCGGGGACUUGCACAAGCGGUGGAGCAUGAGGUUUAAUUCGAUGGUAAACGAAAAACCUCACCAGGGUUUGAAAUUCAAAUGACAGUUCGCUGAAAGGCGGAUCUCUUUAGUUUUUAAUUAGAGCAUUUGUCCAGGUGCUGCACGGUUGUCGUCAGCUCGUGACUUGAGUUGUUCCCUUAAGUGGGUUAACGAGCGCAACCCCCAUUCUGUGUUAUAAGUGUCACAGGAGACUGCCCGUUACGGGAGGAAGGAGGGGAUGACGUCAAAUCAGCGUGGCCCUUUGAUACCCUGGGCUACACUCAUGCUACAAUGGUCGGAACAAAGGGUUGCCAAGCCGCGAGGUGGAGCCAAUCCCAAAAAUCCGACCCCAGUUCAGAUUGGAGUCUGCAAUUCGACUCCAUGAAGCCGGAAUCGCUAGUAAUCGCGGAUCAGCACGCCGCGGUGAAUACGUUCUCAAGUCUUGCANUCACCGCCCGUCACACCAAGGGAGCCGGAAGUAGGGAAGUCCGAUUAUCGGU